CAGUCGCCGCGGGAACACAGAGUGUGCGAGCGUUAAUCGGAUUUACUGGGCGUAAAGCGUGCGUAGGCGGCUUCUUAAGUCGGAUGUGAAAUCCCUGAGCUUAACUUAGGAAUUGCAUUCGAUACUGGGAAGCUAGAGUAUGGGAGAGGAUGGUAGAAUUCCAGGUGUAGCGGUGAAAUGCGUAGAGAUCUGGAGGAAUACCGAUGGCGAAGGCAGCCAUCUGGCCUAAUACUGACGCUGAGGUACGAAAGCAUGGGGAGCAAACAGGAUUAGAGACCCCAGUAGUCCCUGUCUCUUAUAC
rnacentral:rRNA from 1 species